rnacentral:rRNA from 1 species
CUAGGAUCACCGUAAUGAUUAAUAGGGAUAGUUGGGGGCAUUAGUAUUCAAUUGUCAGAGGUGAAAUUCUUGGAUUUAUUGAAGACUAACUACUGCGAAAGCAUUUGCCAAGGAUGUUUUCAUUAAUCAGGAACGAAAGUUAGGGGAUCGAAGACGAUCAGAUACCGUCGUAGUCUUAACCAUAAACUAUGCCGACUAGGGAUCGGACGAUGUUAUUUUGACUCGUUAGGCGCCUUACGGGAAAC